AUAUUUCUUAUUAUUCUAAAUCAGGAGUACUUUAGAUUAAGAAGAUAUUUCUGAUUAUGAUUCAAACCUGCUCAGUUGUCGUCUUCAUGCCGUACGCGUAACACUUAGUUAUGGAAGUAUCAAUAUCAUGAUGAUGCUUCUUCUGGAGUUCGAUCACGAAGGGUAGAAAGAAUCAAUUUCUUAGAAUCAAGAUGGAUGUGCAACCACAAUUAUAAAGUGUUAAUAUUUAAUGUGUAAUGCACAUUUCAAUUGACAAUUUCUAUCCGUUCGGAGGACUUGAGUGAUAUAUAUAUGUUACAUAUUGUUGUAACUUGGCAAGUUGUUUCACAGAUUAUGUUUAUUCAGUACGAUGAAGCUCUGCAAAGGAUGGAGUCUGGAUCCUUAAAUAAGAAAUUAAUGGAAUGAAGAAAAACACCCAUAGGGACUACGGAAUCAAUUGGGAGUUCCAGGUCCCCCUCCAUUCUAAAUGAUGACUUCAAAACGGGGACGAACAAAAGUACAGCUGGACUGGAUGUAGUCCGAGGACAAGUCAAUCAUGGCCUUGUGAGUAGUCUUGUUCGUCUUACCCUCCGAGACACUCCAAACAGAGAAGUGCAAGGGGUUCUCCUCGAGUGAGGAUGAGAGCCAGAAGUCUGCCAGCCAGAAGGCAGCCAUGUUCUCCCUGCAGAAACUCUGCAUCUUCUUGGACGUGUGGACCGGGAUGCCAUAUGUUGCGUCUUGACGAGGGAGAGGAGACACAAACUAUUUAUUGGGAAGAGAUCCAGGACAACUGAGAGAAAUGGGAAGUAGGAAUGGCGUUGAGGAAUAAGACUAUACUGAUUAAAGGAACAUGAGUAUUCUUUAUAAUACAAAACCCUACUC
rnacentral:lncRNA from 1 species